AUCGAACGCUGGCGGCAGGCCUAACACAUGCAAGUCGAACGAGUGGCGGACGGGUGAGUAAUGUCUGGGAAACUGCCCGAUGGAGGGGGAUAACUACUGGAAACGGUAGCUAAUAUCGCAUACCAUCUGAUGUGCCCAUAUGGGGUUAGAUAGUAGGUGGGGUAUCUGCUCACCUAGGCGACGACCCCUAGCUGGUCUGAGAGGAUGACCAGCCACACUGGAACGGAGACACGGUCCAGACUCCUACGGGAGGCAGCAGUGGGGAAUAUUGCACAAUGGGCGCAAGCCUGAUACAGCCAUGCCGGGUGUAUGAAGAAGGCCUUCGGGUUGUAAAGUACUUUCAGCGAGGAGGCGUUACUCGCAGAAGAAGCACCGGCUAACUCCGUGCCAGCAGCCGCGGUAAUUC
rnacentral:rRNA from 1 species